AGAGUUUGAUCCUGGCUCAGGAUGAACGCUGGCGGCGUGCUUAACACAUGCAAGUCGAACGAAGCACUUUAUUUGAUUUCUUCGGAAUGAUUAUUUUGUGACUGAGUGGCGGACGGGUGAGUAACGCGUGGGUAACCUGCCUCAUACAGGGGGAUAACAGUUGGAAACGACUGCUAAUACCGCAUAAGCGCACAGCAUCGCAUGAUGCCGUGUGAAAAACUCCGGUGGUAUGAGAUGGACCCGCGUCUGAUUAGUUAGUUGGCGGGGUAACGGCCCACCAAGACCGCGAUCAGUAGCCGACCUGAGAGGGUGACCGGCCACAUUGGGACUGAGACACGGCCCAAACUCCUACGGGAGGCAGCAGUGGGGAAUAUUGCACAAUGGGGGAAACCCUGAUGCAGCGACGCCGCGUGAGCGAUGAAGUAUUUCGGUAUGUAAAGCUCUAUCAGCAGGGAAGAAAAAAUGACGGUACCUGACUAAGAAGCACCGGCUAAAUACGUGCCAGCAGCCGCGGUAAUACGUAGGUGGCGAGCGUUAUCCGGAAUGAUUGGGCGUAAAGGGUGCGUAGGUGGCAGAUCAAGUCUGGAGUAAAAGGUAUGGGCUCAACCCGUACUUGCUCUGGAAACUGGUCAGCUAGAGAACAGAAGAGGGCGGCGGAACUCCAUGUGUAGCGGUAAAAUGCGUAGAUAUAUGGAAGAACACCGGUGGCGAAGGCGGCCGUCUGGUCUGGAUUCUGACACUGAAGCACGAAAGCGUGGGGAGCAAAUAGGAUUAGAUACCCUAGUAGUCCACGCCGUAAACGAUGAGAACUAGGUGUUGGGGGAAUAACUCAGUGCCGCAGUUAACGCAAUAAGUUCUCCGCCUGGGGAGUAUGCACGCAAGUGUGAAACUCAAAGGAAUUGACGGGGGCCCGCACAAGCGGUGGAGUAUGUGGUUUAAUUCGAAGCAACGCGAAGAACCUUACCAGGCCUUGACAUCCCUUGCAGAGGUAUAGAGAUAUAUCCGAGGUUAUCAAGGAGACAGGUGGUGCAUGGUUGUCGUCAGCUCGUGUCGUGAGAUGUUGGGUUAAGUCCCGCAACGAGCGCAACCCUUGUGAUAUGUUACUAACAUUGAGUUGAGGACUCAUAUCAGACUGCCGGUGAUAAACCGGAGGAAGGUGGGGAUGACGUCAAAUCAUCAUGCCCCUUAUGGCCUGGGCUACACACGUACUACAAUGGCGUCUACAAAGAGCGGCAAGCCUGUGAAGGCAAGCGAAUCUCAUAAAGGACGUCUCAGUUCGGAUUGAAGUCUGCAACCCGACUUCAUGAAGCUGGAAUCGCUAGUAAUCGCGAAUCAGCAUGUCGCGGUGAAU
rnacentral:rRNA from 1 species